GAUGAAGAACGUAGCGAAAUGCGAUAAGUAAUGUGAAUUGCAGAAUUCAGUGAAUCAUCGAAUCUUUGAACGCACAUUGCGCCCGCUAGUAUUCUGGCGGGCAUGCCUGUCCGAGCGUCAUUUCAACCCUCAAGCCCCCGGGCUUGGUGUUGGGGAUCGGCGAGCCUCCGCGCCCGCCGUCCCCUAAAUCUAGUGGCGGUCUCGCUGUAGCUUCCUCUGCGUGGUAGCACACCUCGCACUGGGAAACAGCGCGGCCACGCCGUUAAACCCCCAACUUCUGAACGUUUGACCUCGGAUCAGGUAGGAAUACCCGCUGAACUUAAGCAUAUCAAUAAGCGGAGGA
rnacentral:misc_RNA from 1 species